AUCCAGAUGACGAUUCCCAAAUAGGACGAAAUGCGCAUCCUGGAU
rnacentral:hammerhead_ribozyme from 1 species